rnacentral:rRNA from 1 species
GAGUUUGAUCCUGGCUCAGGAUGAACGCUAGCGGCAGGCUUAAUACAUGCAAGUCGAACGGGAUUUAGGGUAGCAAUACUUUAAUGAGAGUGGCGCACGGGUGCGUAACACGUAUGCAACCUACCUUUAACUGGAAGAUAGCCCCGGGAAAUCGGGAUUAAUAUUUCAUAACAAUGCGCGAUGGCAUCAUCAUGCAUUUAAAGCUCCGGCGGUUAAAGAUGGGCAUGCGGGACAUUAGCUUGUUGGUGAGGUAACGGCUCACCAAGGCUAUGAUGUCUAGGGGUCCUGAGAGGGUUAUCCCCCACACUGGUACUGAGACACGGACCAGACUCCUACGGGAGGCAGCAGUAAGGAAUAUUGGUCAAUGGGCGCAAGCCUGAACCAGCCAUGCCGCGUGCAGGAAGACGGCCCUAUGGGUUGUAAACUGCUUUUGUCAGGGAAUAAACCCCCGUACGUGUACGGGGCUGAAGGUACCUGAAGAAUAAGCAUCGGCUAACUCCGUGCCAGCAGCCGCGGUAAUACGGAGGAUGCAAGCGUUAUCCGGAUUCAUUGGGUUUAAAGGGUGCGCAGGCGGAUUGGUAAGUCAGGGGUGAAAUCCCACAGCUCAACUGUGGAACUGCCUUUGAUACUGUCAGUCUUGAGUAUAGUUGAAGUGGGCGGAAUGUGUCAUGUAGCGGUGAAAUGCUUAGAUAUGACACAGAACACCGAUCGCGAAGGCAGCUCGCUAAACUAUAACUGACGCUCAUGCACGAAAGCGUGGGGAUCAAACAGGAUUAGAUACCCUGGUAGUCCACGCCGUAAACGAUGAUUACUCGAUGUUGGCGAUACACAGUCAGCGUCUGAGCGAAAGCAAUAAGUAAUCCACCUGGGGAGUACGAUCGCAAGAUUGAAACUC